UUCACAACUGCUGUGAGCCAGUGGCUGUGAUAGGGCUGGGUUCAUUGAAGGCAGGUGUAUUUGAUAGCACUCUAGUCUAUACACCACACUUCAAACCCAGCUCGUAUAUUUUCUGUCUGCACAGAUUUGUGACCCAGUAUCAAGACUGUUUAGAUCAAAAAAAUAACUAUGGAUUGCAUUUCCUGAAAAAAAGCACUGCGAAUUCUGAUGCAUGAUUUUUUGUUGUUGCUGAAAUCGUGUAAUUACUUAAAUAUUUGGGAAGCUUGUUAAAUUUAACUGAAACACACAGAAUAAUAAUGCCAGUUUAUGGAAGGGGCCUGACUGCUUUAUGAAGUGGGUCACAAAAGAAGCUCAGCCCCCCAUAUUCCUGCCCACACCAACAAGCCUUAAAAAACCCACUUGGGAGCAAUGCUUUAGGUCAGUCUUAGGACACAUAGCACCGUCCUGCUUUGUUUUAAGCUGUUUCAGCAGAGAAACCGAUUUCAAAGAUGGGAGAUUGGGGAUGCAAAUCACUCUAAGUAUGUACUUGCAUUGUUGUUUAUGAGCUAAUAUUAAUUGAGUUGGCUAACCUCCAAGACAACUUGAAAGUCUUUGUUAUAUGGCCAUGAUGUUAGCUGUUACUUUCUCUCUCCACUUCAGGUUCCUUUGGGUUUUAAAAGGUGGUCCAAAUAUCCUGCCACUUUGGUAACUUUCAGUUUUAAGGUGGCGACAUCUGGUAGCAAAUAUUAAGAAUGCAGUCAACCUAAAAUGCAGAGAGUUUGUAGGAGCAGGAAACGGUUCUGUUUAAGGCUUGUCAGGCUACUAUUUUUGAUGAUUUGUCCCAACUGUUGAGAGGGGCCGGUUGUCUUUAGGAUCCCUUCAGGUAAUUAGGAAAAGUAAUACUACAGUGUAUGUACUUUCUGUAAAAAUAAAUGUUUACUGAAGUAAAAGUACAAAUGUUCUGCAUUAAAAUAUACUUCUCU